rnacentral:rRNA from 1 species
GAUGAACGCUAGCGGCAGGCUUAAUACAUGCAAGUCGUGGGGCAGCAGGUUUGUAGCAAUACAGAUGCUGGCGACCGGCAAACGGGUGCGGAACACGUACACAACCUUCCUUUAAGUAGGGAAUAGCCCAGAGAAAUUUGGAUUAAUACCCCGUAACAUUAUGAUGUGGCAUCACAUUAUAAUUAUAUCUACGGCGCUUAAUGAUGGGUGUGCGGCUGAUUAGGUAGUUGGCGGGGUAACGGCCCACCAAGCCUGCGAUCAGUAACUGGUGUGAGAGCACGACCAGUCACACGGGCACUGAGACACGGGCCCGACUCCUACGGGAGGCAGCAGUAAGGAAUAUUGGGCAAUGGAGGAAACUCUGACCCAGCCAUGCCGCGUGGAGGAUGAAGGUCCUCUGGAUUGUAAACUUCUUUUAUAUGGGACGAAAAAGGGUCUUUCUAGGUCAACUGACGGUACCAUAUGAAUAAGCACCGGCUAACUCCGUGCCAGCAGCCGCCGUAAAAC